CCGCUCUAUAAACCUCACUCUUUGUACAAAACUCUGAUAAGACGUCUGUAACGGGCUUAUCAGCCAUUUUAUCUCUUCGUGUGGCAGCAUUUUCCAUUGGAUACAGCCAUUCAUUCUAAAUAAAGCCCAGGAUUAUCUUUAUAUACUAAAUGCUAAAAACAUAGCUGUCCACACAGAGUUCAAGGCUCCCUAAAAUCAGAUGAUAAAUAAGUGGGUUUAGGAGCAACAUAUGGCUAUAACGCCACACACAGUAUCUUGCGCAAAAUCUUACAAUAUAGGAACGGCAUUGCCGGCAACAAAUAAUUCUUACAGAAUCUUCAGAGCCAACAGCGCAUGUUUGUAUAUAAAUCUGUGUAGAUAUGUCAUUCUGAUGAUACUUGUUAAUAUGAUAAUGUAGGGGUGUGUGUGUGUAUACAUACAUGUAAUCAGGACCUGGAAAAUUCUACAACUCCG